AACAGUCUUGCAGGAAUGAUUCCUUCCGCAGUGUACACUUGUAGAAGCCUUUGCAGCCACGCAAGUGGUAGAUCCAGGCGACUUUAAAUAAUUCCUGGAUCGCUAUGCAAGUCGGCCCACGCACAUGGUGCCGGCGACACUUUCGAAUUGACGGGGACACCCUAAAGCCUGUCGCACCAACUCUGUGUGGGAAACCGCUCGAGGGCCCGUGCUAACUACACGGGGUGGUAAAAGACGACAUGGAUACUUUCACGCCUUUGGUGUGGAUACUAUGGGCAAUCCGCAGCGAAGCCUCUAAGUCCGGCCGCCGGAUAUGAGGAACGUUCACAGACUAAGUGGAAGUGGGUGGAGCGUUUGCCGCUCUGCUUAAGAUAUAGUCGGUCCCCUCAGGAAACCAAGGGGGUGAGUACACUGCUUGAAAUUUAAACACGAACGUGCGUAAUUAUAAUCCACGGCGUUCAUGUUGGAAUUUCGAGACUGUCAAUUGCUUCGCGGUUUGACAGCUCUUAAAAUGUUCCGUAGGUGAACCUGCGGAAGGAUCAUUA
rnacentral:rRNA from 1 species